rnacentral:rRNA from 1 species
CCUACGGGUGGCAGCAGUGGGGAAUAUUGCGCAAUGGGCGAAAGCCUGACGCAGCGACGCCGCGUGAGGGAUGAAGGUCUUCGGAUCGUAAACCUCUGUCAGCAGGGAAGAACGGUCACUGUGCUAAUCAGCAGUGAAUUGACGGUACCUGCAAAGGAAGCACCGGCUAACUCCGUGCCAGCAGCCGCGGUAAUACGGAGGGUGCGAGCGUUAAUCGGAAUUACUGGGCGUAAAGCGCUCGUAGGCGGUAUGUCAAGUCAAGGGUGAAAUCCCCGCGCUCAACGUGGGAACUGCCUUUGAAACUGGCAAACUGGAGUGUGUGAGAGGGUAGUGGAAUUCCAGGUGUAGGAGUGAAAUGCGUAGAUAUCUGGAGGAACAUCAGUGGCGAAGGCGACUAUCUGGCACAUAACUGACGCUGAGGAGCGAAAGCGUGGGUAGCAAACAGGAUUAGAUACCCGAGUAGUC